rnacentral:lncRNA from 1 species
UUGCUGUGCAACAUCGACCUCCGCUGCAGGGAACAAACAACAGGCCGAACGAUCAGCGUUCCUUCGUCGUAAGCCAAUUUACUGCUGCGCAACAAGCACUCAUAUACCGUGACACGCGACUGCCCAGGAAACCCACGAACCCUCCCAGGAAACCCAUGAACCAAUCCCCUCUCCCCUUGUACCACCCUCAACCCCACCUAUUACCCUACACUCCCAUCCUCCUCCGACGACUGUGCUGUGCUCUCCUCCUCAUCCUCCAAUGACGACUGUGCUGUGCUAUCAUCCAUCGACUAUCCUGUGCUAUCAUCCAUCAGCUAUGCUGUGCUAUCUGUUGGGACUGAUUCCAACUGCAGUCCCCUACUGUAACAGAGCAACAUCUUUCUUGAAACCUUGCAUCUAGCUGGAGUGUUGCAGACUUAGAGAGAGCUCUUAGAAUGACAAAAGCACGGAAGAAAGAAGCUGUUCAGAAGGCAAGAAACUAAGGAAACAGGAGCCCCCUCAGGGUUCAAAACUAACUGCUGUUUGAGUUCUGGGAUGACCCAUGUACAGCAGCAAGUGCUCUGCAGCACACAUCUGGAAGCAAUCAGAAGGCGGGACAGCAGGGUACCACCAUUUACUCCUCACUCUUACAGAAGCAUGGACAAGCCUGUCUUUCCAUGAGAUCAGCUGUGUGUUUGGAGUCUGUCUACACUGUUCUUCCAAUUUUCUUCAGAUUGCUAAAAUAGAGGGAAGCAUGAGACUUGUAGAAGAAAAGAUGAUGAAACUGCCUAGAGCAUCUCCCCCAUGAGGAAGGGCUGAGGGACCUGGUUCUGUUAAGCCUUGAAAAAGGAAGACUGAGAGGUGAUCUUAUUCAUGUCAAUAAAUAUCUUAAAUGUGGAAGUCA